CAACUACUCCCUCUGUCCCAAAUUUCUUGUCUUAGAUUUGUCUACAUACGGAUGUAUCUAAUACUAAAAUGUGACUUGAUACAUCCGUAUCUAGACAAAUCUAAGACAGGAAUUUUGGGACAGAGGGAGUACUUU
rnacentral:pre_miRNA from 1 species